CCUAACACAUGCAAGUCGAGCGAGAAAGUCUCUUCGGAGAUAAGUACAGCGGCGGACGGUGAGUAACGCGUGAGUAAUUUACCCUUUAGUGAAGAAUACCUCUGAGAAAUCAGGGUUAAUACUGCAUACGUCCCUACGGGGAGAAAGGUGGCCUCUUGCUGCCGCUAAAGGAUAAGCUUGCGUACUAUUAGCUAGUUGGUGAGGUAAAGGCUCACCAAGGCGAUGAUGGUUAGCCGGCCUGAGAGGGUGUACGGCCACACUGGAACUUAGACACGGUCCAGACUCCUACGGGAGGCAGCAGUGAGGAAUAUUGCGCAAUGGGCGAAAGCCUGACGCAGCGACGCCGCGUGGAGGAUGAAGGUCUUCGGAUUGUAAACUCCUGUUAAGUGGGAAGAAAGACCUAUUUCUAAUACAGAUAGGGGAUGACGGUACCAUUAGAGAAAGCACCGGCUAACUUCGUG
rnacentral:rRNA from 1 species